UUUAUUUAAAGAGAAUACUAAGAUCCUGCAACAUAUUACAUUUAAACUGACACUACACACUAUUAAAACAUGCUAAUGACUUGUUCCAACAUUCGAAAACUAUACCUAAACUUUUUCCACAUCGAACGAAUCAACCUGCCACAAAACAGAUAGAUAUAGUAAAGGUCUUAAUCUUAUAAUUAAAAGAAAAAAUAUAUAUAAUAUGACUAGAAGUCAAUUUGUUUUUAAUAUUAAAAAUAUUUGAAUGUGAGGGAUGAUGAUUCCUUCAAAAUAGAUAAGACUUGCUAAUAAAAAACUUGUUAUCAGUGACUCAAACCAUUAGAGUUAGAACUCAAUUUGUUGGAUUUAAAUAUAAUAUUUCAUUGGAUAUUUUUUUAUAGGAGACAAUUUAUAGACAGAAAAUAUCAACUUUUAUUAAAUAAACUUUGAACUUAACUUUAUCUUAUGAAAACUAAAUGGAGUCUAAUAUAGGUAUUUGUUAAAUUUCUUCCUAGUAUUUCUCUAUUUAUGUAUCUGUAUAAGUAUAUCCGUAUGGGAAUGAAAGACACUACUAGUAAACAAAUCUUAAAAUCAUUGGAACUACAAAACAGAGCUGACUCCACUCACAAAUCUUGUCACUCCAAUGGCAAUACAUAUGGACUAGAUUCUCUCCUUAUACGUAGCUUAAUGAACUCCACAAGCUACUUUCACUCGUUGCUCUCAUAUAGGCCCCCCCCCCCCCCCCAACCAGAUUAAAUCAAUUCAUAAAAUUAUAUUAUCAAUCAAUAUUUUCUUCUCUCUUUCACCAAACUCUGUAUUCCUUCCCCAACAUGUGAAAAAGAGCAAAAACACAUUUAGAGAGAACUUUUUUCAAUUCUUCCUAAAAAUGAGCCAGUGUGUUCCUAGUUGGGAUGUUGAAGAAAAUCCAGAACCACCAAGAGUCACUCUUCGUUCCAACUCUAAUUCAACUAACCCUGAUGUUCCCAUGUCAGAUCUCUUUCNNNNNNNNNNNNNNNNNNNCUUUCCCUUUUUUUUUUUUUAUCUUUUAUAAACAAAGUUUUUAAAUUGUGGUUACUUCGGAACGAAUAAGUGCAUGUUUGAAUUAGUGAUGACUGAUUUGUGUGAUUUUAUAAUUUCAGGUUAGACUAUGAUGUUGCGGAACUAACAUGGGAAAAUGGACAAAUUUCGAUGCAUGGCUUAGGGUUACCGAGAGUUCCGGUUAAACACUCAACAAACGCAGCUACCACUCCUAACAAAGAUACAUGGGAGAAGCCUCGUGCUAGUGGCACGUUGGAGUCCAUAGUGAACCAAGCGACUACCAUACCACACCGCGGAAAAUCACCAUUUUUCGCCGGUGGUGGUAUGUAUGGUAACGUGUUAGUCCCAUGGCUUGACCCUCAAAGGGCCGCAGCCAUAUCUGCAACAACCAACGGUAUGACUAUGGAUGCGUUGGUGCCAUGCUCCAAUCCCACAAAGGAGCAGAGAAUCCAAACAAUGGAUUCAAUCUCCAGAGUAGGGAUUGGAACGUAUAUGGUUGGUGGUCCCACACCAGUGGGGUCUUGUAGCGCUGCCCCCGCCGCAACGCAGGAAGAAGGGGCCCUGGUUGUUGCGGCUGCGGUAAAGCGUGGAAGGGUAGCGCAUGUAGUGGGGAGUGGGAGGGGUCAGAGUGUGAGUGGUAGUGGGACGUUUGGGAGACAAAGUGAACAAGUGACACUAGACACGUACGAGAGGGAAUUUGGUAUGGGUGGUUUUACUUCGACUUCAAUAGCGUCUUUGGAUAACACUAGCUCCGAAAAACAGUGCACAAAGACCACCGUUGACGACCAUGAUUCUGUUUGCCAUAGUAGACCAACGGUAAGCGUCUCACAUGAUUGUGCUUUUGUGUCUCAUAUUCAAAUCAUAAAUAGUUAUAUAUUAUUCUUAUAUAAAAUAUCCAUAAAUAGAUAUAUUAUUCUUUUAUUAAAACUAGUUUUAAAAAAGUCCAUAUUAAAUAUGAAACUUUCAAAUAGAUCUAUAGAUAGACCUUUGAUGGGUAGGGUAUUAAAAUUUCCUAAAUUCACUAAAAUCCGUUUUAUUAUACAACCCUUAUUAGAUAGAUCCUCUAAUUAUAUUUGGGGAAUAAUGAGUAGUUUCGAUUGAGUAUAAAUGGUGGCUAUUUUGGAUAUAAAGUAGUAAUCAUUCGGAUUGCCUAUAUUUGCCAGCAACGCACCCUAAUAUAUCAUUGGUGUCUUGUUUGGUAGCCUUGAGUGUCUCUCUUAGCUAAUUUUAGAAGGAAAAAAAGUCAAUAUCAAAUCUUCCUAGCUCUUAUUUUUCCAUUCACAUCCAUAUAUAACAUAAUUAUAUUUCUUGAUACUUGUAUGUUAAUUUAAUGAUUCAUGAUGACCAUAGAUGGAGGAUGCUGACGUGGAUGCUAAAAAAAGAGAAAAUCGAAAAUCAUCCGUUUCCACUAAAAGGAGCAGAGCUGCAGCUAUACACAAUCAAUCUGAAAGAGUAAGCAUACAACAAAUAAUUUCUUUAAUGUAUUAAAUGUGGUUGUCUAAUAUAAUUAUGGUUUAAAGGUCAACUUUAUAAUUUUUUUAAAUUAUUUUUUAUUACACAUUGUAAUACUUCUAUCUUUUAAUAUAUUUUUUGAGAAAUUUAUAUUAGACUUUUCUAUAUAUAUAUAUAUAUAUAUAUUAUUUUAACUAUGAAACCAAUUAUUGGUUGUUCAUUGGUUAUUUUUUAAUUGAAAUUUCAGAAAAGGAGGGAUAAGAUAAACCAAAGAAUGAAGACAUUGCAAAAGUUGGUCCCAAAUUCCAAUAAGGUAUUAGAAUAUAUAUUAUACAUAAAGUUUAGUUGCAACUAACUAGUGGGAUUUUGACUAGCCAAAGAUGAUAGUUUAUCUGUGAUAUUUGAGCCAAUUAUUUGGUAUCUAAUGGUCCCAAAUUCACAACAGUUGCUAUGAUGUAACGUUAAUUUUUGCUCGUUCACUUUCCUACACUUCAAGUAGCGGUCCCAUGAGGAUUCUGCACUAAAAAUCUUCAGUUCACAUUAUUAUUUUGUUUUCUUCUUCUUGGGGUCUUUCCGUAAUUAAAGCAAACGAUUUUAAGAUGUGUUUUAGCAAUAUUAAUUUCACGUAAACAACAUAUAUUAGAUGUAUUGUGAAAAAAUUAUUUAGAUUUUUUUGAGUUGUUAAUAUGAUCCCGUAAAUUUCAUUAUUUUUAAUAAACUUUUAUAAAAUAUUUUUUUUAUUAAUACAAAAUUUAUUUUAUGCUAAAAAUAAUUAAGUUUACAUUUGGAUAUUUUUUUAGAGAUCUAUGUCACACACCCAAAUUUUUAAACUUAUUUUUAUGUUUGCUUACAUAAUUAAAAUGAUUGAUACUCUAGUCCCGUUUUUCAAAAGUAAUUUUAUUCCAUAUAUAUGUGUCUCUUAUAUAGUCACAAAUUAACAUUAAAAGUUUAAUUAAUAGUCAUAUCAUUAUGUAUGAGGUCACAUAAUUUUACUGCUGCUGGUCAGGCCAUGAUUCAAGAUUUACUAUUCUCCUUUAACAUAAAAUCAUCACACAUACAGAUAUUCAAAAACAUAAUUACGCACAUACUCCUACUUCAACAAAAUUACAUCUACACGUGCUUUUGUGUAGAGUAUAACUAGUUUACUUGACUUUUAAUUUGUCUAUUACUUGAAUAUUUUUAUUACUUCAACUGACACGUCAUACUUAAUUAAUUAUUACUUUUCUAACUUUUACGUACUUUUUAUUCAAUGCAUGAUUAAUGUUUGUCCACUUUGGACCACUAAGGUUUGGACCUUCGUGCACUGGAUUGGUAUCUCUAUCCAACGUACAUGACUAGAACCAAGCAUAUGUAUAAGAUUUAACUAUCAAACAACUUUUUGUAUAUAUUGUAUUACCACUAUACAUAUAUGAAAAAAGUUGAGUAUAAAAAUAUAGAUUUAAUUUAUAUAUAAUUGUGUAAAAAUAAUUUAUAUUAUUAUUAGAUUAUUAUAAAUAUUUAACUUUUAUUAAAUUAUAUUUAAUGUUACUAUCUCUAUAAAUAAUUAUGAUGUGAUAAUAAUAAAAAUAUAUAUAAAAAAAGUGUUACAUGAUUUGUAUCUAAUUUAUUUUAAUUUAAAUAGAUAUAAUGAAUCAUUUUAAGGUUUGAAAAGAUUAUUUUCAUCUUCAAUAAAACACUAACAAUAUUAACAAUACUAAUAAUUGUAAAAUAAUAAAUUUAUAAUAAUAAUAAUAAUAAUAAAUAAAAGAGAUGAAAUAUUUUAUUCAAAAUUAUUAAAAGUUGUAAGGAUCCCACAUUAGAGCCUUAGAGACCAUAGAUGCACCCAACAUUUUAAUAAAUGUACAAUUUAAGUCUCCCAUAAAUGUUAUUAUCAAAUUUAAUAAUUAAUAUUAAAUGUUCUGACUUAUGUGAUAAUUAAUUUGUGGUCAUCAUUAACUUUUUGCCAAUCUUAUGGCUAUAUAUAUGUGUAUUGUUUUCAGCCACCUGAAUCCACACAAACUUAAUCUCAUUACUUGUUGUGACACUUUGACACAUUAGGCUGUUUGGUGAGGAAACACCCAACUGCUCCCAUCGAAAUCCUUUGCAAUGGUAGGGCCUAAUGUUCUUUCAUGACAAAAACAUCGAGUCAAUUAACAUUUUGGCCACACCCAAAAUAGUGGGGCAAAACAGAUAGACAAAUGAAAAGUAAUAUCCACAAGUGUAUACGAAAAUAUUAAAACUGAAUUAUUUUUAAUUAAUCAUUAAUUUAACCAUUAAAAUUAAAAUUACAUCUCACAUUAUUGACUUAUUUAUUAGCAUUUUGACAAUUUUGUCCAUUCGUCUUCUAUGAUCAUUUUAUUUUUCUUAUAUGUCUAUGUCUAUAUUUUAUGAUCUUACUUUUGUGUACCUUAAUUUAGUAUGUUUUGUACUCUGUUUUUAAUCUAUAUAUAUUAUUUAUGCAUUAAAAAAACAUAUAAUAAUUUUUUCAUUAUUUAUAAUUGUUAUAUAUUUUAAUAAUUAAUUAAUUAUAUACAUAUAUUGAAUUUAUUUAUGAAAUUAUGCUUGAGUCAAAAAAUGGUAUUAUCUAUUUGAACAUUUAAUUUUAUGAUACAGACUGAUAAAGCUUCAAUGUUGGAUGAGGUGAUAGAAUAUCUGAAAAAUUUGCAAGCACAAGUGCAAAUAGUGAAUAGAUUCAACAUGUCGUCGAUGAUGAUGCCAAUGAACAUGCAGCAACAACUUCAAAUGUCGAUCAUGAAUCAAAUGGGUAUGGGAAUGGGGAUGGGAAUGACUGGGAUGCCUAUGGGUAUAGGAAUGGGGAUGGGAAUGGAUAUGAAUACCAUGAAUCGAGCUAAUAUACCUAACAUACCUGGAAUGCCUCCUGUCCUUCACCCUUCUGCAUUCAUGCCUAUGGCUUCAUGGGAUGUAGGCGGCAGCUGCGACCGGCUUCAAGGGCCUCCGG
rnacentral:lncRNA from 1 species